AAUCAUACAAUUAUGGUGUUAUUCAUUCAUUAAUGAGUUCUUUCUUACCUUAAAUAACUUAUCAUUUUUUCACUACUUUUGUUUUUAAGGUCUAUAUAGUAUUCUCUACAAUCCCAAAUUCUGGAUUGACGCCCCAGUACCAGAGGGCACCCCAAUCCCAGAGAGCAUCCAUCUGAAAGCAGGUGAGGUAACACAAGAAAAACUAACAGGAUGGAGACUACCUGAUUCGUCACCUAUGGCCUUAGCUUCAAAUGCAAGAAUAGGUCCAGCAACUGUCUGAGCUGGUGGAUAUUCUGUCAGAGACUGCGUGAACAAUGUUAUGAACAGGUAUGUAUUUCUCUUGAAUUGUGUAAUCUUGCACCAUAAUAUUUCAGGAAUAUAUGUUGAUUACCACCAUUAACCCAGCUAUUUAUAUUACUUCAUUUCAGGAUUUAAUCUGUCACACAUUACUUGUCAGAAGUUUUAAUGUUCGGAGUGGCUCAAACAGUCAGCCAUACUGAAAACAAGAAAUCAAAACAUAAUUUCAGUAAUGAUGUCUAAUUGUCUUAUGGCAAAGUUCAAUAUGAGGGGUGGUGGACAUCUGGAAAAUAAGUCUUUUAAAGGCACACCUUUGUAUUAUGUUAUUCAAGAUGCUGUGAAGAGGUGGAGCCCAAAUGCCACAGACUCGGAAAUAGAUGCAGCUAUGGCAGACGACCUCAAGCUAAAUAAGCCAAACAGCUGUAAUGUGUUAAAGAGAGAGUUCACCCAAAAAUGAAAAUUGUUAUAAUUUUUUUACCCACAUGUUUCAAACCUGUAUACAUUUCUAUUUUCUGCUGAACACAAAGAUUGAAAAAUGUUUGUAACCAAGCUAACUGUCAAUAAUUUUUUUUUACAAUUGUAGUACUGGGUUGUGAGAUCUGCUUUCUAUUCUUUCAAAUAUCUUUGUGUUCAGCAGAACAUAGAAAAGUAUACAGGUUUGAAACAUAAGAGAGAGUAAAUUACUAAAUAAUCAUUUUGGGUGAACUAUCCUUUUAUAGAGUAAAGUAUUUUGAAAUUGUUAUUAUAGUUAAACGGUUUAAAAAAAUAAAAAGUGCUAAAUCAGAACAUGCUUCUUUUUUUGCUUGUAUCCAUAAAUAAUGUGUUCUUUAAUGUGUUUGUGAAAUACACGUGAUUACAACGUUAUAAAGACGUUCAGGUUUGACUGGACUGAAUUUGUGUAUUUUAAGAACCUUAAUAAUUGCCUAUUACAAUUGUACAAACUAGCCUGUUUUAUAUGCACGUUUAAGUGAGUAUAACGCCUGAAUUAAGCAGAGACUCAUAUUACAGUCCAGAAGAGGACAUUUUUAGACGUGCACGGACCGUGCAGAAAAGACGUGUGAUUCACGGUCAGAUGACGUUAAAG